GACAGAGGUGGCUAGCGUUGUUCGGAUUUAUUGGGCGUAAAGCGCACGCAGGCGGUUUGGUAAGUCAGAGGUGAAAGCCCACGGCUUAACCGUGGCAUUGCCUUUGAUACUGCCUUUCUUGAGUAGAGUAGGGGGAAGCGGAAUUCCGAGUGUAGAGGUGAAAUUCGUAGAUAUUCGGAGGAACACCGGUGGCGAAGGCGGCUUCCUGGACUCUAACUGACGCUCAUGUGCGAAAGCGUGGGGAGCAAAC
rnacentral:rRNA from 1 species